UACGUAGGGUGCAAGCGUUAAUCGGAAUUACUGGGCGUAAAGCGUGCGCAGGCGGUGAUGUAAGACAGUUGUGAAAUCCCCGGGCUCAACCUGGGAACUGCAUCUGUGACUGCAUCGCUGGAGUACGGUAGAGGGGGAUGGAAUUCCGCGUGUAGCAGUGAAAUGCGUAGAUAUGCGGAGGAACACCGAUGGCGAAGGCAAUCCCUGGGCCUGCACUGACGCUCCAUGCACGAAAGCGUGGGAGCAAACAGG
rnacentral:rRNA from 1 species